ensembl:lncRNA
ACAGCCUCCGUGCCGCAGGAGCUGCUCGCAGCGCCGGGCUCUGGAGCUGCGCUCCUUGGGAAAUCCCCCUGUGACAGAGUCCUUGGGCAAUAGCACGGAGCCUACAGCUUUCACUUCUCGAGGUGUAAAAGAGGCAUUUACACAGCUUGAAGAGCUUUCACUUGUAUUUUACAACCAGACAGCAAAGGCAGGCAGAUGGCUGCUAUCAGCACGUGAGUGGCUCUGUGCUGCACCAAGCCUGAGAGCAGGCACUGCUGGACUGUGGGUGAGAACCAGCUUGCUACAAGCAUCUGGAUUACAAAACAGGUGCCAGUGAGUUAACUUUAUCAUCAUCCACUUCAACUCAAAACAGGAAAUUUUCCCUGUCAUGGAAAAUGCUUGCUUCUUGAAUGGUAAAGUCCACAAGAGAAACCCCCUCUACCUUUCAGAGAGAUGCUUUUGUUAUGUGAUUCUUGGAACAGUUUGUGAGACUGUCACGAGUAAAUAUGAAGCUUAACAUUUGUAAGCAAUUAGCUUCAUGCUGGAUAAACACAGGCCUUUUGCCCAUCACCCAUCAGAAACACCAGUUCAUUGCAAGCUGGAGCCCCAUUUUCCCCUGGGUGGAGAUCUCUGGGAUCCUCAGGGGUCUGCUCUCUCCCUGUGCUGUAGCUGCUCUGCCCCAUGUGCAUGUACAGGUGCUGUGCCCUUGCAAGCAGCUGCUGCACGUGUAUCCUGUGUGAUGUGUGCCUGAUGAGUGCCCACGGCUGCAAGUCAGCUCCCCCACCACCCUUUGUCACCCAGCCCCAGCUGGCAGUGCCACUGCAAGCCCCAGCACCCCUGCAUACUCACCAGCCAUUUUCUGGGAGCUCAGCAGGGAGGCAGGGAUACACCAAAGGGUGAGGUGCAUCCAUGGCUUCCUCUGCUGCUGGGGACAGAGCAUCCCACUGGGAGCCCUCUGCAACUCAGGUGCCCAGCUGUAGCCCAGGGCAGGUACUGCCUUGUGACUUCUUGUGCUUCUCUGCCUUUUGAUUCACACUUUUCAUCAUGUUAAAACCAUGCAAGUCAGGGCCUGGGCCGUGUGCCGUCCCCCAUCUUCUGGGCUGCUCACGCCUAUCUCUGAAAUUUACUUUCCUCUCUCCCUUGUGCUGGGAAAAGCCCCAGGUAGGCUCUUUAUUGAGAUCAAUAAUUCCUGCUCUCUGUGUACUUUCUCACCUGCCAGCUUAGUCAGUGCUGGACAGCUUCACCAUUUAUACCUUUCUGGUUCUAAGUCCACAUUCUGGAUGAAUGUUGUCUCCCUUCUGCACAUUCAACGACUGGAAAAAGGUCAGUCAGCAGGCAGCAAAACACCCUCUCCUGUUUAGAUUUUGAAUUUAUCCCCAGCAUUAAUAGAAAAAAACUUUUAUCUGCAUAGAGUUUAAACAUGACCAGUCCUUGAUUAUGGCAAAUGGUCUGUAGGAAGCUCUCCAUCCCACAGUGUGUUGGGACAACAUGGACAUGGCCUUGCAGUAGCCUGUAAUGCACUGAGAGAGAGAGUUUGGGUGGUCUGCUCCCAGGAGUAGCAACUCAGUGGGUGGGGUGGUGCUGUAGAUAAUAAUUUUGGAUGACUUCAGUGCAGCACAGAAGACUAAACUUCACACGGCUGUUCCUUGUCAAAAAACAUUUACUGCUUAGCUGAACCACAGCCAAGCCUCCUCGUUGCUGCUCUGUGGAGCUCCACGUGGCACCACACGGUGCAGACUGUCCUGCUCUUGGGGCACAUGGCCCUGCUCCAGCAGAGGUGCAAGGGCUGACAAAACUGAGCACUUCUCCUCACCAGGCAUCUGCUCCCAGCCACGCAAUGACUGAGCUGAUGGGCUCCCCUCAAGGGUGUCUAGAAACGUUCCACCACAAGUGCUUGGGAAACUAUGAAAAGCAAAGAAAAUCUCUGUCUCUGCUAGCAAAAAACAUCUCCUAAAAGGAGAAGAUAAACUACUCUUUCUAUGUGGUAGGCUCACUUUCUAGAAAGAAAAAUGCCACCAAUAGUGGUGGGAGGGAUAAAGGAGGCAGCUUGUAUAAGGAGGUGAUUUCUUUCAGCAUGAAAUUAUGCAUCUGCCUGCCACAGACCUUGCAGCAUCAGCCCUCCCUCCCCUGGCUCAGCUUCUUUCUCUCAGCAUAAGGCUGCAAGCUGCUGUGCUAAAAAUACAUAUUUUUAGCGUGAAAUAGCUGCUCCUGCAGGAGCACACGUCAGAGACACCAAAGCACUCCUUGCAAGCUCUGAACCAACCUGCUUAGACUUCUCUCCUGAGGGUGGAGCAUGAGUUCAUUGACUAGAAAGAGCUUUGCUGACAUCCCAGGUGAACUGGGAAAUCUUUCCCAUCCCUCCAUGGAUUUCUCCAUGUCCUGGGUUUGCCUUAAUUGAAUCUUUUUGGUAAGGAAACCGAAUUUGAAAGAGAGUCUUCCCAGAAGGUUUGUUCACGGUCCUGUAAGCAUGAACCUGUCAGAAUGAACAUGUAAGAAUAAUGUUACUACUUGUGCUGUGACAUUUUCCUACAAAUUUCUCAUCAUUCCAGGGUAAUUCUUUCAAGACCUGGUGUAUACAUGUAGUAGCUGCAGUGUUUAAUCCCUGUGAAGAGCUGUAGACUUUUCUGUUUGGGCUGAGAGCUGACAAAGUCUGGUUUAUCACAUGCUUCUUACCAACAAAAAAAUGUCAUUCACUAAAAAAGUCAUUCUAUCAAUCUCUGAACGAAGAGAUAAAAAUCAUGACAAAUUGAAGCCAGGUAACAUUGGAAUCACAGUCUGAUAAGGCUGGAUAAGACUGGUGGGGACCUCUGGAGAUCAUCUUGUCCAACUCCAGCUCAAAGCAGGUCUGCUAGAACAGAUUGCUCAGGGUCAUGUCCAGUUGAUGCUGAAUGUCUCCAAGGAUGGAGGGAGUUUCUUCCAUUUACCUCUCUUGGCAGCCUGCUGCAGUGCUUGACCACACUCACAGUAGAACAUGUUUUUCUUGUGUUUAAAUAGAAUUUCUUGCAUUUCAGCUUCUGCUUAUUGCCUCUUGUACCAUCAGUGAGCAUGACUGAAAAGAACUUGACCCCAUCUCCUGUAAACCCUUUCUUCAGGUAUUUAUAUACAUAAGGGUGUGAUCCUCCCUGAGCCUUCUCAGGCUGACUGCUCCCAGCUUUCUCAGUUUCCCCCUCUAUAAGAGAUGGCUCCAGCCCUGUAAUCAACUUCAUGAUCCUUCCUUGUUCUCUCUCCAGUGUGUCCAUGUGAACCCUGAACUGGACAAAGCACUCCAGGCAUGAGAGGGGACCUGCUUGCAAAGUUUUAUCUCAUGCAGCCCAUGACACCAUUGGUCUUAUUUGCCAAAGUUUCCCAGAUCUUAUUUUCAGCUCUCCUGAAAGAGAAGGAUUAUUUUCUUUCUUCCACUCUUCAGGUAUCUCUCCUGACUGCCAAGGUUACAGAGUGACCUUGCAAUGACAUUGGCUAGCCCCUCAGCACUCAUGGGUACAUCCCAUGAAGUCUCAUGGGCCUGCAUAUAUCCAGUUUGUUUAAAUGUUCCUAACAAGACCACUGAAAUUAAGCCUUUCUUGCUCUGAUCUCAGGGUAAUUAUAGCAUUGUACAGUAAGGAUGCAAUUUUCUCUUAAUUCUCUGCAGUGUUCACAGCAUGUUGUUGCUUUUUCCCUGUUGAGUUCUGCGGUAUUCUCCAGGAAAAAAAAAUACCUCAACAGCAGGUUUUCAUGUAAUUAUAACCUCUAUAUCUACCUUCCUUCACUCCCUUUUCCUCCCACUCAACUCCAGCACCUAAUUUCUAAAUCCUCCUCCUCCAUCAGUGCCUAUGAGAGAACACCAGCAGUGUAGCAUGUCCAUGGACUCACACUGACUACUCUGAGGGGCACAAGAGUUGCAUGCUUAAACCCUUGUGGUGUAUGCUUGAAAAUUUCAGCUUCGUUUUGCAGAGGAGGAGAGCUCUGGUGAAGAUUUUCCAUUUGCCUCAUCUUAUCCCCAACGCUGACAUCACCAAAUCCCCAGCAAGCAGUACUGUUGCUGCAUGUUCACAGUGAAAAGGUGAAAAGACUCUGUUUAAACAUACAAAUUUAACUUGCUACCUAGGGUGUGCUUUAGAAUACUGCAGAAUUUUCCUGAAAGAUUAAUGAUGUUAAAAUGUGCUAAUGGCAGGCGAGAGCAGCACUGUAUGUCCAUCGAGGUGGUGCAGGCUGUGGAGCUGCUCCCUGGGGAGCCUCUCCCAGCUGCCCCAUGCAUGGGAUGGCACAGCAUGGCAUGGCAGCCCACCUGCCCCACCACUGCGAGCCUGGCCUGAGCUGACUCUGCUCUUGAAAAGCCUUGGACAGGCCUGGGGAAGAACUCCUGGUGGCUGCUGUCAAGCGUGCUGCUCCUCACGCUUGCAGAGAGCAGGGGUACUCUGAAAUGAUGGGGUUUUUCCCAAAGUGCUUGUCUGUCUUUUAUGUUUGCCUCCUCAAGCAGAAGAACACUCUCUGCACUAAUACACCACUGCAGCCUUUUCAGAAAUACUGGCCUGGCCUUUGCCUGUCCAUCUGCAGAGCCCCUCAGCUGACUUGUGGAAAGGACGAGCCCUGCUCCAUUUCUUUGAUUCUUUCAGUGAGACAUGAUCCUUCUGUAGUUUCCACCAUGGUGUCACAGUUGGAUGUUGGACCCUGCUAGCUGAGAAGAUUUUCUAUCCAAGAAAACACUACCCAUGCUAC